rnacentral:rRNA from 1 species
ACAACAUGUGAAAGCAUGCGACUCUUCGGAGGCGUUACACAGGUGCUGCAUGGCCGUCGUCAGCUCGUGUCGUGAGAUGUUUGGUUAAGUCCAGCAACGAGCGCAACCCCUGUUGCCAGUUACCAGCACGUGAAGGUGGGGACUCUGGCGAGACUGCCCAGAUCAACUGGGAGGAAGGUGGGGACGACGUCAGGUCAGUAUGGCCCUUAUGCCCAGGGCUGCACACGUACUACAAUGCCCAGUACAGAGGGGGCCGAAGCCGCGAGGCGGAGGAAAUCCUAAAAACUGGGCCCAGUUCGGACUGUAGGCUGCAACCCGCCUACACGAAGCCGGAAUCGCUAGUAAUGGCGCAUCAGCUACGGCGCCGUGAAUACGUUCCCGGGUCUUGUACACACCGCCCGUCACAUCAUGGAAGCCGGUCGCACCCGAAGUAUCUGAAGCCAACCGCAAGGAGGCAGGGUCCUAAGGUGAGACUGGUAACUGGGAUGAAGUCGUAACAAGGUAGCCGUAGGGGAACCUGCGGUUGGAUCACCUCCUU